ACUGUCUAUGCGUUCGAGUUGCUGUGCGGAUCAUGUGACUCCCAGCACAGAAGCCCCUCCCCUCUCUGAGCAGCAAACCCCAAACUGACUAAAGAGUCUCUGUCAGGAUGGCUGUGGAUUCAUUAUAUCCGGAUUGGGAGUUUGACCGCUUUAAUGAUGGAUCACAAAGUCAGUAAAGCAUCUAAUUGGAAUACUGUUGGUAUCGUUAAUUUUUUUUUUUUUAAGUGUAACUUAAAAGAUGUAUAGGUCCUGCAGCUAGCCGAGUAAUGUUAGAUAGCUGUCAGAUGACCAGGGAAAGUGACCAAGUUCAAGCACCCUGGUUAAAUAAGAGCAGAACAUUCAGUCCACCAGCCAAGAAGAUAAGCUCAUGCAGACCAUGAACCUGACCCAGAAGAGACUGGACAUAUAACUGCAGGAGUUCGAGCUGCUCUAUUUCUCUCUGAGCAGCGCUCCGAUCUUCUUCAGAGCUGAUAAAACGGCAGCCGAGGAGACCUAGGAGAAGAAGGACGGAGACAAAGUUGCCAAAACUGGUCUUAGUUCCUCAACGAUUGAGGGUUCUCCUGGGGAAACCAGCACCAAGUGAAACUACAGAGCAGCUUGGACGAUAUAAAUCACUUGAACAGCAUGGACUCGCUCCAGAGGAGGUUAUAAACAUUGACCCUCCAGCCACUAUUCUUCUGUUGGAGUCUGUACAGCGUCUUGAAAUCAUUUUGGCGUUAUGCCACCUGCACUCGUUCGACUGGAACUGACUGUGGAUUUGGAUCAAUGCUUCGGUUUUAGACCAUGAUUGUUUUAUGUAUCGACAAUGACAUUCAACCGCCGUUUUGUCAAGCAUUAUAUGCGGUCAUGUAAAUUCAAGAGAUGUGAUUGGUAGAUGAAGGCAUCUGUAUUUUUUUAUUUUCUCUCUCUCUUAACAAUGUUGAUUGUUGGGCACAGAUAUUUUUAUAUGAUGGAACCGGUCCUUAGAAUAUUUUUUUAUUUAGAUAAAGAAAUUGUUUUAGAUUUUCUUUUUUUUUUUUUUUUUUAGAUAAUUACAUUUAAAAGAAAUUCAAAGAACUGAUUAUAUUUCACACAAGAAUGGAAAUUCUGUCAUGUCAUUUCAAACCUAUAGGAUUUUUAAAAUAAUUUUUUGUUCCAUUCAAUGGGAACCAAAAGGGUUAGUUUGGACCGCAUUGACUUGAAUUAUUCUGACAAAAACAGUUCUUCAAAAGAAUAAUUUUUUAUGUUGCUCGGAAGGAACAUUUUACAUUUUGAAUGAAAAAAGGGUGAGUAAACAGACACUUAGUUUUUGCUUGAUCUUUUCUUUUAAAGUUGAAUAAUGUGAAACUAUUUUCUUGUGUCAAAAGUUUUAAUUAACCAAUGAUUUUCUGGCCAAAACUCAUUCAACACCGUCAUUUUUAUAAAUAUAGCACACUAACAUAUUCUGUUUAGUCUAUUUGUGCUGCCUAAAAUAUAUUGCAAUGUGUCUGACAGUAAAAAUUUGUCCUUGCUCACUGUGAUGGAGGAAGUUCAAUUGCACUUAAUGCUGCUGCAGUCUUACAGUAUUCAGUGGUUGAAUAACAAAUAACACAGCAGUUUCUUCACAUCAGUUACAAUCCAUCUGAUUUUUCUGACAUUUGCAAGUAAUUUGUGCGUCUUAAUCAUUAACCUCAUGGCAUCUUUAUCAAAAGACUUGAAUAAUGCACGUCUGUUCACGUGAACAGGAAAAAACACAGUGUUAGGAUUAGUCAUGCAUUACAGCCUCACACACACACACAUACACUCGUACCGAAAGUGCGGUUUCACCCACACACCCCCUGCCCAGACAGAGUCCAAACACUGGUUCAGGAAAGCCGUUCUGGUUUAUUACAAAGAAAGGGAGCUUUAAAGGUGGUCAGAAAAUACAAUAUUGGUCUGUUUUUCGUACUAUGGGUUUUCCCUUUCCUAUGAAAUGCUUCUAUUCAAAUAGCUGCAGCUGAAAUAUAUCCACCCCCUUGUUUUUUUUCCCCACAAUACAGAUGUCCUUGCUCAGGCCUUCCAUGUCACCUUUAUCCAUUUCGUUUAAUUGGUCUUAAGUGCACAGGGUAACACACGUGAUUCCACGUCUGGCAGCUCAACAUACUGGUCACUAAUUUUUUUUUUUGUGUCUUUUUGCCUUUUUUGUUUUGUUUCUACCACAUAAUGCCAUUUCUGUUCACCUCCUAAAAAUGAGGUCAAGCAUAGUUACUUCUUCCAAAAUAGACGCCAUGUAUAUAUAUAUAGAUACAUCUAUCUAUAUAUAUCAUAUAUAUACACAUUCAUACAUACAUAUCUUUAUUCAUGUGAUGUCAAAAAAAUUAAAAAAAUGUACACGUUUAUUACAAAAUCGUAACAAAGACUGAAAAGGUUUCGUAUUCAUUCUGGAACAAUGUUUCUCGGUAAGCUCACAACCGCCUGGUCCACGGGUUGUGCCCAACAACUUUCACUGAAAUAGUCUGAUCGGGAUUUAUUGAAGCUAAGCAGGAAACCGCUCACCGGAUGAGCAACGCAGGUGGAUGGAGAAAAAGAAAUGGGAAAUGAUCAAAGAAAACGGGGGAAAUGAAAAAAGCACCUCCUCGAUGUUAAUGACAGAGCUGCACGUCCUUCCAAACGACAACGGGAGAGAAGCAAGUUUCCCACCAAAAAAAAAAAAAAAAACAGAAAACAAUUUUUGUGUUCUUUUAUUACUAAAUAGUGCAACAA